AUUGAACGCUGGCGGCAGGCCUAACACAUGCAAGUCGAGCGAGCGGCGGACGGGUGAGUAAUGUAGGGGGACUGCCCGAUAAAGGGGGAUAACUACUGGAAACGGUGGCUAAUACCGCAUACUAUCGGAUAACCCAUAGGGGAUUAGCUAGUAGGUUGGGUAAAGUCUCACCUAGGCGACGAUCCCUAGCUGGUCUGAGAGGAUGAUCGGCGACACUGGGACUGAGACACGGCCCAGACUCCUACGGAGGCAGCAGUGGGGAAUAUUGCACAAUGGGCGAAAGCCUGAUGCAGCCAUGCCGCGUGUAUGAAGAAGGCCUUAGGGUUGUAAAGUACUUUCAGUGGGGAGGCGUUACACGCAGAAGAAGCACCGGCUAACUCCGUGCCAGCAGCCGCGGUAAUUC
rnacentral:rRNA from 1 species